GUGUGUGUGUCUCUCGCUCUCUCUCUCUCUGUGUGUGUGUGUGUGAGUGAGAGAGAAGAUGUCCAGAAGAGUGGAGGUGAUCAUCAGCUCCUCAGCUCCGCAGGAUCAGGCAGAGCCUCCUCUUCAGAUCACAGAGUCGAAGCCCGGAGAGCAUCCAGGAGUGAAGGGCUUCUUAAUGAUCAAGCCGGCGGUGCUGGGGGUGAAAACUUGUGCUUUAACAGAUCAUAUCUAGUGCUGAGAGUCUCUGAGCUCGAGCUGAACCUGUGUGUGUGUGUGUGUGAUCCGGCAGUGGCUGGAGAUCCUGACCGGUGCCGGUGUGUUUGGACUCGUAUAUUGGAAUUACACUCUCUGGUUGUUAAUACCGGCUUGCUUUGUGAUUUUAAUAGGAGUUAUAACCGCUACAGCUGCAUGCACCCACAACCCGUGUCUGGUGAUCACUUCUCAAGUGCUGAAUCUGCUCAAUAUCUGCAAUGUGGUGACGGCCGUCCUCGUGUUUUUCGUCAGAGUCUUCUUUGUAUUUCUUGGAGAUGUGAGUGAUUGCUUCUGCUGGUAGUUUCUAGUCUCGUUCUGAUCAGAGCACAUCUAAUGC
rnacentral:lncRNA from 1 species